rnacentral:rRNA from 1 species
AUUGAACGCUGGCGGCAGGCCUAACACAUGCAAGUCGAACGAGUGGCGGACGGGUGAGUAAUGUAUGGGAAACUGCCUGAUGGAGGGGGAUAAAUACUGGAAACGGUAGCUAAUACCGCAUACCAGCGGAUGUGCCCAGAGGUGAUGGGAUAGUAGGUGGGGUAAAGGCUCACCCAGGCGACGAUCCCUAGCUGGUCUGGUAGGAUGAACAGCCAAACUGGAACUGAGACACGGUCCAGACUCCUACGGGAGGCAGCAGUGGGGAAUAUUGCACAAUGGGCGCAAGCCUGAUGCAGCCAUGCCGCGUGUAUGAAGAAGGCCUUCGGGUUGUAAAGUACUUUCAGCGGGGAGGCGUUACCCGCAGAAGAAGCACCGGCUAACUCCGUGCCAGCAGCCGCGGUAAUAC